rnacentral:rRNA from 1 species
UAACACAUGCAAGUCGAGCGCCCCGCAAGGGGAGCGGCGGACGGGUGAGUAACGCGUGGGAACGUACCCUUUGCUACGGAAUAGCCUCGGGAAACUGGGAGUAAUACCGUAUGUGCCCUUCGGGGGAAAGAUUUAUCGGCAAAGGAUCGGCCCGCGUUGGAUUAGGUAGUUGGUGGGGUAAUGGCCUACCAAGCCGACGAUCCAUAGCUGGUUUGAGAGGAUGAUCAGCCACACCGGGACUGAGACACGGCCCAGACUCCUACGGGAGGCAGCAGUGGGGAAUCUUAGACAAUGGGCGCAAGCCUGAUCUAGCCAUGCCGCGUGAGCGAUGAAGGCCUUAGGGUUGUAAAGCUCUUUCAGUGGGGAAGAUAAUGACUGUACCCACAGAAGAAGCCCCGGCUAACUCCGUGCCAGCAGCCGCGGUAAUACGGAGGGGGCUAGCGUUGUUCGGAAUUACUGGGCGUAAAGCGCACGUAGGCGGACUGGAAAGUCAGAGGUGAAAUCCCAGGGCUCAACCUUGGAACUGCCUUUGA